rnacentral:rRNA from 1 species
UACGGAGGGUGCAAACGUUGCUCGGAAUCAUUGGGCGUAAAGCGCACGUAGGCGGUCGGCUAUGUCGGAUGUGAAAGCCUCGGGCUUAACCCGAGAAGGGCAUCCGAAACUGGCCGGCUUGAGUACGGAAGAGGGUCUCGGAAUUCCCGGUGUAGAGGUGAAAUUCGUAGAUAUCGGGAGGAACACCGGUGGCGAAGGCGGGUCUCUGGGCCGAUACUGACGCUGAGGAGCGAAAGCGUGGGGAGCGAACAGG